CUGUGUGUUUGCAGUUGGCCCUCUGAGUGUGGAGAUCUCUGGUCCAAUUUCAGCUGAAGUUAACCGAAUAGUGUCCUUCAAUUGCUCUGCUUAUUCCCGGCCACAUUCCAACUUCCAGUGGUUUUUUAACAAUAACUCAAGGGUUCUCAGUACUGGCUCUGUUUUCACUUUCACUGCAAAGAAAGAGACUGAAGGAAACUACACGUGUAACGCAACGAACCCUGUGACCAACAUCACAAUGUCCCAAACCAAAAACUUUACUGUCGUUGAUCACUCCUCGGCUUGCCAUUUCCCAUCCCAAGGCGGUCUGAUGUUGAUGGGUCUGUUUGCUUUCUCUGUGCCUGUGCUGUUCAGCUAAGUCCUCUGAACUCAUACAACAAUAAGACUGAAAGGCCCCUUGCUUUCUUUACAGUCUUAACAGUCUUACUGUGAAUUAAUGGGAAAAUAUGGGAAAUAAUUUGAUGCCAUGGUAUCAGUUUUUGUGGGUUUUGUUCUAAAGGAAAAUAAGAAUUUGAAAUGUGACAGACUUUGAUUGAAGUUACAGUUUGUUGUUAGAUAUUUCCUUUUGUCAGAUAUAUUUUAAUCAACAUACAAUUCACAAUAGUAACAUUGACACUAACAAUGAAAUGGUAAAUUAUCUUAUUAUCAUUAGCAUUGCCUGUAAUUGCCUGUUCAUUAUUAGCAAGUAAAAGUAGUUAUGUGAUUGUAAUACUGUAAUACUGGUUGUUGUUGUUGUUGUCACUGCCAUUCAGGUAGUUUAAUACAAUGAAUUACUGCAUAAGCUAACAAUUGUGUUCCACUAAAACACCUUCAUACUCUUUGGUACAAACUGCAAUUCUUCACUCUGAACACCUAGAAGCUUUUUACAUGUUAACACAUAUGUUUUACACAUAUUAAAAAUGUAAUCUAUUUCUUAAUCAAUAAAUAAUCAAC